GACGAACGCUGGCGGCGUGCUUAACACAUGCAAGUCGAACGGAAAGGCCCUGCUUUUGUGGGGUGCUCGAGUGGCGAACGGGUGAGUAACACGUGAGUAACCUGCCCUUGACUUUGGGAUAACUUCAGGAAACUGGGGCUAAUACCGGAUAGGAGCUCCUGCUGCAUGGUGGGGGUGGGAAAGUUUCGGCGGUUGGGGAUGGACUCGCGGCUUAUCAGCUUGUUGGUUGGGUAGUGGCUUACCAAGGCUUUGACGGGUAGCCGGCCUGAGAGGGUGACCGGCCCCAAUGGGCCUGAGAUAGGGCCCAGAGGCGUACGGGAGGCAGCGGUGGGAAAUAUUGCCCAAUGGGCGGAAGCCUGAUGCAGCGACGCCGCGUGCGGGAUGACGGUCUUCGGGUUGUAAACCGCUUCCGCCUGUAACGAAGCGUGAGUGACGGUAAUGGGUAAAGAAGCAACGGCUAACUACGUG
rnacentral:rRNA from 1 species